UACGGAGGGUGCGAGCGUUGUUCGGAAUCACUGGGCGUAAAGGGCGUGUGGGCGGUCUGUUAAGUCUGAUGUGAAAGCCCGGGGCUCACCCCCGGAAGUGCAUUGGAUACUGGCGGACUCGAGUCCCGGAGAGGAGGGUGGAAUUCCUGGUGUAGCGGUGAAAUGCGUAGAUAUCGGGAGGAACACCAGUGGCGAAGGCGGCUUCCUGGCCUGUUCUUGACGCUGAGGCGCGAAAGCUAGGGUAGCAAACGGG
rnacentral:rRNA from 1 species